rnacentral:rRNA from 1 species
GUYUUUUUGUUAAAAAUUUAAAGUCGGGCCUGCCCMCUGAAAAUUUAAAUGGCCGUGGUAUUUUGACCGUGCUAAGGUAGCAUAAUCAUUAGUUUUUUAAUUGAAAGCUGGAAUGAAGGGUUUGAUAAAAAAAUGACUGUCUCUAUUUAAUUUUAUUAAAAUUUUAUUUUUAAGUUCAAAAGCUUAAUUUUUAUUAAAAGACGAGAAGACCCUAUAGAGUUUAAUAAUAAAAAUUAAUUUUUAUUUUAGAAUUAAUUUAUUUAUUUUUUAAUAUUAUUUAAUUGGGGUGAUUGAAAAAUUUAGUUAACUUUUUUUAUAUUAAAUCAUUAAUUUAUGAAUAUUUGAUCCAAUUUUUUUGAUUAUAAGAUAAAAUUACCUUAGGGAUAACAGCGUAAUUUUUUUAGAAAGUUCAAAUUAAAAAAAAAGAUUGCGACCUCGAUGUUGGAUUAAAAUUAAAUUUUGGUGUAGAAGCUAAGAAUUUAAGUCUGUUCRACUUUUAAAAUUUUACA